rnacentral:rRNA from 1 species
UACGAAGGGGGCUAGCGUUGUUCGGAAUCACUGGGCGUAAAGGGCGCGUAGGCGGCCGAUCAAGUCGGGGGUGAAAGCCUGUGGCUCAACCACAGAAUUGCCUUCGAUACUGUUUGGCUUGAGACCGGAAGAGGUUAGUGGAACUGCGAGUGUAGAGGUGAAAUUCGUAGAUAUUCGCAAGAACACCAGUGGCGAAGGCGGCUGACUGGUCCGGUUCUGACGCUGAGGCGCGAAGGCCAGGGGAGCAAACGGG